GGACCCGCACAAGUAGUGGAGCAUGUGGUUUAAUUCGAAGAUACGCGCAGAACCUUACCAACACUUGACAUGUUCGUCGCGACUUUAAGAGAUUAAAGUUUUCGGUUCGGCCGGACGAAACACAGGUGCUGCAUGGCUGUCGUCAGCUCGUGUCGUGAGAUGUUGGGUUAAGUCCCGCAACGAGCGCAACCCUUCACUUUUAGUUGCCAUUCAUUUAGUUGGGCACUCUGAAAGAACUGCCAGUGAUAAGCUGGAGGAAGGUGGGGAUGACGUCAAGUCCUCAUGGCCCUUACGUGUUGGGCUACACACGUGCUACAAUGGCAUUUACAAUAGGAAGCAAGACGGCGACGUUAAGCAAAUCCUAAAAAAUGCCUCAGUUCGGAUUGUACUCUGCAACUCGAGUACAUGAAGCUGGAAUUACUAGUAAUCG
rnacentral:rRNA from 1 species